AUUUUUUGGGGGUUCAUAAGCAUAAUGAUUGGGUAUUCACAGUCAUACAUGAGAUGUGCCAACCUCAACCUCUAUGCUAUAACAUAUAUAUAGUAAUCAUUAUAGC
ensembl:snoRNA